AACGAACGCUGGCGGCAGGCCUAACACAUGCAAGUCGAGCGAGACCUUCGGGUCUAGCGGCGGACGGGUUAGUAACGCGUGGGAACGUGCCCUUCUCUGCGGAAUAGCCACUGGAAACGGUGAGUAAUACCGCAUACGCCCUUCGGGGGAAAGAUUUAUCGGAGAAGGAUCGGCCCGCGUUAGAUUAGAUAGUUGGUGGGUAACGGCCUACCAAGUCUACGAUCUAUAGCUGGUUUUAGAGGAUGAUCAGCAACACUGGGACUGAGACACGGCCCAGACUCCUACGGGAGGCAGCAGUGGGGAAUCUUAGACAAUGGGCGCAAGCCUGAUCUAGCCAUGCCGCGUGUGUGAUGAAGGUCUUAGGAUCGUAAAGCACUUUCGCCAGGGAUGAUAAUGACAGUACCUGGUAAAGAAACCCCGGCUAACUCCGCG
rnacentral:rRNA from 1 species